UCCUUAUCAAGCAGGCAAGACUCUCGUUAGAUUUAAUACCCUAAUCGGUACUCUUUAUUUUUAUCAGUUAUCAGUAAUUAUAAAUCUGUUUACCAGCUUAUUAUUUCGAUCGUUUCAGUUUCGCAAGCGGUAUAUAACAGUAAGAGCCAUCCAACUCGCGACGUUCGAAUUAUACGGUCACUCGAUAAAUCGGCCGUUUUAAAACUUUCUGACCUCCUAAUACGUAGUAUCUCGCAAAAUUUCAAAGUCGCCUUCCGAUACCGAAAAUAAAUUUCAAUAAAAUAAAAAAAUAAAUAUCGUACUAUCCGCGACUGCGUAAAAAUCUUCUACGUAAAUUCGCGUGACCUACAUAUAGUUGAAAAAUUAAAUAUGUACGGACGAAAUUUGGUCCUAGUAUGUUGUAGAAAUUUUUCUUCCGGUUUUUUAAAAGCGCGCCAAGAUGACCGGCAUAUUAUAGGGUACGGCAUUAUACAUCAAUGCGUCGUUCGCACUGACGAUGCUUGUGAUAUCUUCUGUACAACGGAGGCUCGCGAUCACGUGAUUGAUCGUCCCUCCAAUAUCAUCUCAACAAACUUCCGCGGCGAGCCCUCCACCGUUCAACUCAUGUUGAGAACUAUGUGUGCCUGACGUUUGUGUGACUUUGUCAAGCAUGCCUCCGUGAACGAUUGUCUUAAACACGCCGCUUGAUUUACCUUCGACAAUACCGAUCGUGUCCCAGUUUCUUUUUACGCGGCGAAUCGGAUCAAUAAUUGAUCGAUCAGUUUUUUGUUGCUUUUUUUUUCUCCGUCUCUUAUGUUCUUUCCACUAAACGAUCAACGGAGAUGUACAUAAAAAUUUAUCGUAUUCUAUGGGUGUGAUUUGGUUAUGAAUAAUUUUCAGUAACAGAACCGCGCGGUCUCGGAAGUGCAUACACGCAUUUAUACUUUCAUGCAAACGUAUACAUGCACGAUCACGUCACAUUGGAUCUGCAUAAACGUGCCGUUUCCGUCAACACUAUAGUACUCGAUGUUCUCUAGACAAGAAUCUAUUGUACUCCAUUGUGUUUCAGUGCGACUACGCUGCAGACAUUGCAUAACAUACCUAUAAUAUCACCGCCCCUGCCGAAGAUAUACCAACUCUCGAUAAGAUUCCUUUUUUUCAGUCAUAUCGUGCAUCGUUGGAGUGAUAUCAAAGUAC